UACGUAGGUGGCAAGCGUUGUCCGGAUUUACUGGGCGUAAAGAGCGCGCAGGCGGUCGUUUAAGUCGAAUGUGAAAGCCCCCGGCUCAACUGGGGAGGGUCACGCGAUACUGAUCGACUCGAAGGCAGGAGAGGGUAGUGGAAUUCCCGGUGUAGUGGUGAAAUGCGUAGAUAUCGGGAGGAACACCAGUGGCGAAGGCGACUACCUGGCCUGUUUCUUGACGCUGAGGCGCGAAAGCUAGGGGAGCAAACGGG
rnacentral:rRNA from 1 species